rnacentral:rRNA from 1 species
CUCCUACGGGAGGCAGCAGUAAGGAAUAUUGGUCAAUGGACGCAAGUCUGAACCAGCCAUGCCGCGUGAAGGAUGAAGGUCCUCUGGAUUGCAAACUUCUUUUAUCUGGGACGAAAAAAGGGAAUUCUUUCUCACUUGACAGUACCAGAGGAAUAAGCACCGGCUAACUCCGUGCCAGCAGCCGCGGUAAUACGGAGGGUGCAAGCGUUAUCCGGAUUCACUGGGUUUAAAGGGUGCGUAGGUGGGCAGGUAAGUCAGUGGUGAAAUCUCCGAGCUUAACUCGGAAACUGCCAUUGAUACUAUCUGUCUUGAAUUUCCUGGAGGUAAGCGGAAUAUGUCAUGUAGCGGUGAAAUGCUUAGAUAUGACAUAGAACACCAAUUGCGAAGGCAGCUUACUACGGGACGAUUGACGCUGAGGCACGAAAGCGUGGGGAUCAAACAGGAUUAGAUACCCUGGUAGUCCACGCCCUAAACGAUGGAUACUCGACAUCAGCGAUACACUGUUGGUGUCUGAGCGAAAGCAUUA